rnacentral:lncRNA from 1 species
UCCAUCUACCUUCUUCCCUAUCUAGAAUGCCCCGAUUCGAGAUCUACGAAUUGGAAGACCUCGGUCCAGGCUGAUCUAGUUGGGUACCAGAUCUUGAAUUUUUUAGAGGUGAUUUCAGAGGCAUUCUUCAUCUGGAACGAAGGGCUGACGAAGAAGAUAGCAACCAGGCUGAUUUCAUCAAGGGCCUUCAAUCAAGUCCAGAAGUCUCCAGAUUUGUUCGUUGCUAGUUCCACUGCACCCAA